AACGCCGGGGGCUCGCUUUCUUCUUAUUCACUGUUCGUAAAGGGUGCGUAGGCGGGUCUUUAAGUCAGGGGUGAAAUCCUGGAGCUCAACUCCAGAACUGCCUUUGAUACUGAGGAUCUUGAGUCCGGGAGAGGUGAGUGGAACUGCGAGUGUAGAGGUGAAAUUCGUAGAUAUUCGCAAGAACACCAGUGGCGAAGGCGGCUCACUGGCCCGGUACUGACGCUGAGGCACGAAAGCGUGGGGAGCAAACAGG
rnacentral:rRNA from 1 species